UUCUUCUUUCUAAACCAUUCAUUCUUUCAUUUCACAAACAAAGCUCACAAAAAGUAGAGUAAAUAUUUGCUGUCGUCGUCGUAGAGCGAGGGAAGAGAUGUGUAUGGGGGCAGUGUAGGGGAAUGGCGAUAACGGAGAUUAAUUAGGAUUAGGAAGUUUGGAUUCUCCGUGGAGACCUAAGCUUAUUAACUAUUGCUCUUGUUUUCGUUAUCACAAUCUUAAAUCCAUUUCUUGUGGCCGCUGUGCUCGCACUCUCUUCUUAACUGAAAGCGGGAGUGUUUAUGCCACCGGUUAAUGUAAUGAUUUUGGACAGCUUGGUGAACUUCUAUGUUCUUAGUUCUACCAAUGUCUAGCAUUUACCGGAACAAUUUGAAUGCUCUUUUUUGAGAUCUUCUGUUGUCAAGGAAUCUUGUGGUUGGAACUUGGAAGCAUACAGCAGCGAUUUCAGGGAAUAUAUGUUUUAGUAAAUUUAAAUGUAAAUCUAUUGUUUAAGAUAAAGAUUUCUGACUUUCUCAUCAUAAUGUUCCAUUCUGUUGACAAAUUGUAAGGAUAUAUACAUGCUACUAUUGUCUCAGAGAUGUUGAAAAAUUAAGACAUAGAAGAUGUGGUUAAGUUGUUAGACAUGGAAGCAGUGUAAAAUGUCUUCGAUAA